GCUACUCCGGAGGCUCAGCCAGGAGGAGGGCUUGAGACCAGUCCAGCCUGGGCAAUAUAAUGAGACCACAUCUCUUAAACUAUAUAUAUAGAAGAACCAAAGGAUAUGAAAGCAAAAGUCCUUUUCCUGAUUUCAAUAUUUCAGCCAUGAUCUUUGUUUAAUAAGAGUCUCUUUAAUUGUUUAAUCAUGAUGAUGUGAUUCCCAGUUCCUGUUCUCUGUGUGCCCUAACUCAGGCUCCAGCACACUGUCACUUCCUGGCAGAUGAGGAAUGCUGCAGUUGCUGUUGGAUAUUCUGACCAAUCCAAGUAGAAGAGCAGGGCCCACAGAAUAAUUAAUCAGCAACUAACUAUGACAUCUGAAAACCACCGAUCUAAACAUGUCGAUGUCCGGUUCACUCUUUUAAAAAAGUUUCCUGAUACAAUGGUUCAAGGAUUCCUCUGACAGUGACUCCCAUACAGGAGAAGCAUACGCAAGUAUAUGAAAGCCAGAGGUACUAAAAUACCACAAGAAAGGAGGACUUUGAAGUGAUCAUCUGUUCAGGCAAGGAGGAGGUGAUGCUGCUCAAAGGCUCACCAGGAAUGCGGUCUUCUCAAGCUUUAGACAGACUUCCUAGGAGGCCCCGAGAGACACACAUAUGGCUUGGAGUUGAUUUGGAGAAACAUCUGAACUUCUGGAUGGGGCUCUGAGCCAAGUCUGGAAUCCUCUGGGCGCCUUCAUUUGCUCCCACACAAUCCAUGGAAACACCUGUUCAAGGUCUGAGCUGCCUGGACCACCACCUUUGAUUCUGAAAAACUCAGAGAGCAGAUCUUCAAUCGUCCUUUCAGAAGGUACUCUAGAAUUCCUUGUUCUCCAGUGCAAUGAUUUAGAUAAAGUUAUUUGAUCAUGUGAAUGACAGAUCUGGGAAUGCGAUGAUUUUAUUGCUAGGUCCUACUGUACACUUGCUACUCAAGCUACUCAAAAUGCAGUCCCUGGUCCAGCAGCAUCGGCACUUCCUGGGAUCUUGCUAGAAAUGCUGAAUCUCAGGCCCCACCCCAGACCUGCUAUUUCAGAAUCUGUAAUGUAACAAGAUCCCAGUUAAUUAGCAUGCAUGUUCAAGUUUGAGAAGAGCGGCACUAGACGAGCUUUGUCAAAUAUGCAGUGUGCUGUCAUUUCUCUAUGUUGUGCCUGUGACAGGCAUCCAUAAUCAACCACAGAAUCACUUCCUUCUGAAAUCAGAAUCCUCUCAAGUCAUGGUUUCGGGUAGCAGUAACGGAUCAAUGGGAACUGGCUCCAAACUAAACCUCUCUUCCACACUGGUGUCAAUACUUGAAGAAAGCUCUGUGGCUCCUUUAUUUCCACUCAUCUACACAUCUUAUAUGCCUGAUGAAUGUUUGUGGAAUGAAUGCGUUUUCCCCUAGCCUGGUUUCCUGUGGUAUUCACUCUAUUCCAGUCCAUACUCACAGAAAAUCAGAAUUUCAUUAGGCAUUCUGCGAAGUUCAGCAGCUGUUCUGGGUGUUGGGUUUUGCUGUUGGCCAUGACCUAUUGGAAGGCUGAGGUGAGGUUGGAAAGAUGUCAGGGAUUGCAUGAAGACACCUGGGAACCCAUCUGGCUGUGGCGCAUGGACCUCAAACCAUGAGAGUUUUCUUUUCUUUUCUUUUUUUUUGGAGUUGGAGUGUCACUUUGUCUCCCAGGCUGGAGUGCAGUGGCUUGAUUUUGGCUCACUGCAACCUCCACCUCCCAGGUUCAAGUGAUUCUCCUGCCUCAGCCUCCUAAGUAGCUGGGAUUACAGACACGUGCAACCACACCCAGCCAAUUUUUGUAUUUUUAGCAGAGAUGGGGUUUCACCAUGUCAGCCAGGCUCAUCUCAAACUCCUGACCUCAGGUGAUCUGCCCACCUCAGCCUCCCAAAGUGCUAGGAUUACAGGCGUGAGCCACCACGCUCGGCCACAAGUUUUCUUCAGGACAUGGCCCCAUGUAGCCCAGCUCUACAAGGAGGCUGCUGUGUGAACUAGGCUACAGGCAGAAAUGGGACUGUGGGGGGAGUCAGUAGGGAGGGCAGACCAACAGCCCUUUAAGACAUAGCAAUAAUGAUUAUAAAUAGCAUCCUUCUGACGGCCUUUUGAUGUACUGUCCAAGGCCAGGUGGAAAAUCUUUCCUCCCCUGCCUUUCCCCACUAAUCACCUUCCCCUCAUUUUUCAAUAAAGAUUCUGAGUCC